GCUGGAUGUGGUGGUGCGCAUCUGUAAUCCCAGUUGCUUGGGAGGCUGCAAGUUUGAGGCCAGCUUCAGCAAUUUAGUGAGGGCCUAAGCAAUUUAGCUAGUCCUUGCUA
rnacentral:sRNA from 1 species